GACCUGGGAUUCCCUGAAUGAGGUAGGUGAGGCCUCUGUGACCUCACAAUUGAACCCUGCCCUAGUAAUGCCAGCGUCUUACCUGAGGACAAGCCAGAGUCCAGAAGGAGGGCUUGAACCACAGCAAGUGCAUGUGACUGGGUGACAGCUGCUGAGGCAGAGCCAGCACCUGACUUGGAACUCCAGUUUCUAAAUGACAACAGGAAGAAUCUCUGCUGUUAUACAGAUCUCCAGAGCGACAUUCUCAGAAGUCAUUGACUGUUUCAUGGCAGGACCAGAGCCCAAGUCUGACCUCACUGAAACCUCAGACCAGCCUGGUGGCCAGAUGGAUGUGAAUGAGAAGGUCCAUCAUCCCUUCUCAUCCAACUUUGAGUCCUCCCGUGUCCACCCAUCAAGGCCAUUUGUUCUGUCCAGAUAUUCUUUUCAAACUACGAAGGAUCCUCAGAAGUCAGGAGAGUUUUUUAUUACACAUGGCCACUUCAUCCCUUUCACUAUUGUUAAACAAAAGAAAGCCUGCCA